AUUUGUUUUCCCACGUUUUUUUUUUCAUUAUAUUUUUCUAAACCACAAAAAGAAAAACAAAAAAAAAAGAGAACAUUGUUGUUAGUAACACGCAGAAGAACAACCGCUCCUCAAAAGUCUUUCGGUCGGCGCCGCUUCAUGACUGGUUAGACGAAUAAGUGCAUAUAGUGUUGGUUGAUUGAAAGUUGAUUGUUAGAGGAAGGGAGUAACAACAAGAAAGAAUCAUUUGAGGUAUCAUGAAUAUUGAUAAGUCUUGGAUUUCUAAGCUGCAUACUUCACCUGAAUACGAAAUUGGUUUAGAUAAAUUCUUAGAUUUUGCAUUUAAGAAUGCGGUUGUUGGAAAUACAAUAUAUUGUCCAUGCCCAAUGUGCAAGUUUUUGACACCGCAAACUAGGAGUGUAGUUAGGGAUCAUUUACUUUACAAACCUUUCCCUAAAAACUAUGUCAUAUGGACUCUUCAUGGUGAGAAAAGAGUUCCAGAGUCUUCUAGAAAUGAAGACUUUGUGCAAGAAGCAUCUCAUUCAGAAAAUCUGAUUGAAAUAAUGGUCAAUGAUGCGUUUGGUAACUAUAGGCAAGAUGCAGCUAAUUUAGAUGAAUCAGACCCGAUAGCCACAGGGGAAGGGACAAGCGAUAAUGGUAGUGGUUUUCGUGAGUUUCUCAAUGAUGGGAGUCAAAUAUUGCAAGAAGGAAGCAAGUACACAAAACUUGAAUUCUUAAUCAAAUUAUAUCAUAUAAAGGUCUUGUGUGGAUUAAGUGACAAAGCAAUGACUAUGAUAUUAGA